rnacentral:rRNA from 1 species
GAUGAACGCUGGCGGCGUGCUUAACACAUGCAAGUCGAACGGAAAGGCCGAAGCUUGCUUCGGUCCUCGAGUGGCGAACGGGUGAGUAACACGUGGGUGAUCUGCCCUGUACUUCGGGAUAAGCUUGGGAAACUGGGUCUAAUACCGGAUAUGACGAUCUCUUGGAUGGGGUUGUGGAAAGCUUUUGCGGUAUGGGAUGAGCUCGCGGCCUAUCAGCUUGUUGGUGGGGUAAUGGCCUACCAAGGCGUCGACGGGUAGCCGGCCUGAGAGGGUGUACGGCCACAUUGGGACUGAGAUACGGCCCAGACUCCUACGGGAGGCAGCAGUGGGGAAUAUUGCACAAUGGGCGCAAGCCUGAUGCAGCGACGCCGCGUGGGGGAUGACGGCCUUCGGGUUGUAAACUCCUUUCGCAAUCGACGAAGCCUUUUGGUGACGGUAGGUGGAGAAGAAGCACCGGCUAACUACGUG